UACGUAGGGUGCAAGCGUUUGUCCGGAAUUAUUGGGCGUAAAGAGCUCGUAGGCGGCUUGUCGCGUCGGCUGUGAAAACCUGGGGCUCAACCCCGGGCCUGCAGCCGAUACGGGCAAGCUAGAGUUCGGUAGGGGAGACUGGAAUUCCUGGUGUAGCGGUGAAAUGCGCAGAUAUCAGGAGGAACACCGGUGGCGAAGGCGGUUCUCUGGGCCUGACCUGACGCUGAGGAGCGAAAGCGUGGGGAGCGAACAGG
rnacentral:rRNA from 1 species